rnacentral:sRNA from 1 species
GUCGUGAGAUGUUGGGUUAAGUCCCGCAACGAGCGCAACCCUUGUCCCUAGUUGCUACGCAAGGGCACUCUAGGGAGACUGCCGGUGACAAACCGGAGGAAGGUGGGGAUGACGUCAAGUCCUCAUGGCCCUUAUGGGUAGGGCUUCACACGUCAUACAAUGGCCGGUACAGAGGGUUGCCAACCCGCGAGGGGGAGCCAAUCCCAGAAAGCCGGUCGUAGUCCGGAUUGCAGUCUGCAACUCGACUGCAUGAAGUCGGAAUCGCUAGUAAUCGCGGAUCAGCAUGCCGCGGUGAAUACGUUCCCGGGUCUUGUACACACCGCCCGUCACACCAUGGGAGCGGGAUGUACCAGAAGCAGCUAGCCUAACCGCAAGGGGGGCGGUUGCCACGGUGCGUUUCGUGACUGGGGUGAAGUCGUAACAAGGUAGCCGUAUCGGAAGGUGCGGCUGGAUCACCUCCUUUCUCGGAACGCCCUCGCGUUCCAGUGCUCACGCUUAUCGGUUGUUGCAAGGCGACAGGAAAACGGAAUUACGGUACAUGGCGUGGCUUUGCGGAUUGCCGCGACACCCGGCGUGCCCUGUUUUCCCCACCUCUGUUGCCUGACAGGGGCCUGUAGCUCAGUUGGUUAGAGCACCGUCUUGAUAAGGCGGGGGUCGAUGGUUCGAAUCCAUCCAGACCCACCAGAGUUCGCCGGGGCUGUAGCUCAGUUGGGAGAGCACCUGCUUUGCAAGCAGGGGGUCGUCGGUUCGAUCCCGUCCAGCUCCACCAAUCGAGACGGGAUCCGGGGCCGGGUAGGCGGCGCAGAGUCCAGAAGCAAGCGGCACGGGUGUCCAAUCGUGCCGUUUGCUUCUGGUUUACUGAACCAGUGUUAUCGGUUGUUCUUUAACAAUACGGAAGAAGUAAAGCAAUCUUGCCCGACGGGCGAGGCUUGAGGCGCAAGCCUCAUUUCUCGAGCGUGGGGCGGGAUGGGUUGGAUUGUAUCGAGCCCGCUGUUCCCGAGAAGGUGGGAAUGGUGGGUAGCGCAAAUACCCGUAACCUGGGCGAAGCAGUGCUCAGUGUUAUGGGGUCAAGCGACUAAGUGCAUGUGGUGGAUGCCUUGGCGAUUACAGGCGAUGAAGGACGUGGCAGCCUGCGAAAAGCUGCGGGGAGCUGGCAAACGAGCAUUGAUCCGCAGAUGU